GCUUCCGUCCCAGCGAAGGAACGCAGCUGCGUCACGGGGUCGCAGCUCAUCUUUCGCACAGCACCACUUUAAACUAAAACACCUGUCCGGGCGUGUUGUGCAGACCCUCCUCGAGCUCUGCCAGGCUUGGUGCCAUGACAAAUUACCUUCUUCUGAAUCCUCUUCCAGGGACCGACCACCUCUCAGCGGGUCACCAGGGGAGAUCAGCACGUCCCCGACCGGUGCCCCCGAUGAGGAAGGUGUCCUCAGCCUCAGGCUCCCCCUGCACCUUCCCCAAGAUGAACAAGCCAAGUGACCCCGAUACUUUUCAUCGUCUUGGCCUCCCUACUCCUGACACACUCUUAGCAGUCUGAUGUCCUUCUUAAAUUAAGGUGCCUAAACUGGACAUAGGACUUGACGUGGGGUGUGCAACCCCACAGCGCAGUGUAGAAUGGGACAGUCACCUCCUUCGACUGGCCAGCAGUGCUGUGCCUGACUCCACAACAUAGUCAGCCCCUUUGGCUGUCACUUUUGGCACACUCUUGACUUCUAUUCAACUAGCUAUUAACCCAGAAACUUAUAUUGCUGUUUAUGGGGCUGCAAUCCAGCCUCUCAUCCCCCAAUUUCUCUGUGCGACCACAAUUGCCCUGUCCUGGGUGAACAAUCUGGCACUAGCUAGAUUUUAGAUGAUUAGUCAUUGAUCAACUGUGUCCAGAUCUAUGUCGGGCUCCUCUACCAUCAAGGGGGUCAACAGCUCCCCCUGGUUUAGUAUAAUUGGACUUACUUCCUGCAACCAGAUAAUUUUUAAGAACAUUAAAGAGCACUGUCAAUAAAACUGAGUCCUGGGGAA